rnacentral:rRNA from 1 species
CCUAGUAACUGCGAGUGAAGCGGGAAAAGCUCAAAUUUAAAAUCUGAGGGUCCUUGCGGCCUUCCGAGUUGUAAUCUAGAGAAGUGCUAUCCGCGCUGGACCGUGUACAAGUCUCCUGGAACGGAGCGUCAUAGAGGGUGAGAAUCCCGUCUUUGACACGGACUACCAGGGCUUAUGUGAUGUGCUCUCAAAGAGUCGAGUUGUUUGGGAAUGCAGCUCUAAAUGGGUGGUAAAUUCCAUCUAAAGCUAAAUAUUGGCGAGAGACCGAUAGCGAACAAGUACCGUGAGGGAAAGAUGAAAAGAACUUUGGAAAGAGAGUUAAACAGUACGUGAAAUUGUUGAAAGGGAAACGCUUGAAGUCAGUCGCGUUGGCCAGGAAUCAACCUUGCUUUUGCUUGGCGUAUUUUCUGGUUAACGGGUCAGCAUCAAUUUUGAUCGGUGGAUAAAGGUCAGGGGAAUGUGGCAUCUUCGGAUGUGUUAUAGCCCUUGGUUGCAUACAUCGGUUGGGAUUGAGGAACUCAGCACGCCGCAAGGCCGGGUUUUAACCACGUACGUGCUUAGGAUGCUGGCAUAAUGGCUUUAAUCGACCCGUCUUGAAACACGGACCAAGGAGUCUAACAUGCACGCGAGUGUUUGGGUGGAAAACCCGAGCGCGUAAUGAAAGUGAAAAUUGAGAUCCCUGUCGUGGGGAGCAUCGAUGCCCGGACCAGACCUUUUGUGACGGUUCCGCGGUUGAGCGUGUAUGCUGGGACCCGAAAGAUGGUGAACUAUGCCUGAAUAGGGUGAAGCCAGAGGAAACUCUGGUGGAGGCUCGUAGCGAUUCUGACGUGCAAAUCGAUCGUCAAAUUUGGGUAUAGGGGCGAAAGACUAAUCGA